rnacentral:rRNA from 1 species
GACGAACGCUGGCGGCGUGCCUAAUACAUGCAAGUCGAACGCAGUGGGGACGGGUGAGUAAAACGUGGGUAACCUCCCAUCAGAGGGGAUAACCCUUGGAAACAGGUGCUAAACCGAUACUGAUGGAUGGACCCGCGGUGCAUUAGAUAGUUGGUGGGGUAACGGCUCACCAAGGCCACCAUGCAUAGCUGCGCGGAGAGGGUGAGCGGCAACAGUGGGACGGUGACACGGCCCAGAAUCCUACGGGAGGCAGCAGUAGGGAAGCUUCGGCAAUGGACGAAAGUCUGACCGAGCAACGCCGCGUGAGUGAAGAAGGUUUUCGGAUCGUAAAACUCUUUUGUUAGAGAAGCGGUAUCUAACCAGAAAGCCACGGCUAACUACGUGCCAGCCGCCGCGGUAAUAC